CCUACAUGAAGUCGGAAUCGCUAGUAAUCGCGGAUCAGCACGCCGCGGUGAAUACGUUCCCGGGCCUUGUACACACCGCCCGUCACACCACGAGAGUUUGUAACACCCGAAGUCGGUGAGGUAACCGCAAGGAGCCAGCCGCCUAAGGUGGGAUAGAUGAUUGGGGUGAAGUCGUAACAAGGUAGCCGUAUCGGAAGGUGCGGCUGGAUCACCUCCUUU
rnacentral:rRNA from 1 species